CAAUAUUGAUUUGAGCGGCAAUCACCAAUUCCCUUUCUCUUUCCGUCUUCUCAAAAUCAAAAACCCUAAAUCUCAGCCGUCAUCCACAUUCUCACUUAUUUCCAUUUUCCUUUCAUCCGCCAUUCACAACCCUAAUAAUCAUCUACAACAUCUGUGGUGAUUUCAUCCUAUAAUCUGAUUCAGAUCCUAUCAAAAUUGUUUCCUUUCACAGAUACUUAAUCUAGAGGAGGCGAUUGUCAUGGAAGUGAUUAUUCAAAACCCUAAAUCGUAACAAGAUGAACUGCAUCCAGUGUCAAUCUACACUAUUAAGAAGAAGGAUGAGACCGAGAGGGUUGUCAAGGCCACCUUUAUAUAUAGAAGAAGAUUUAAUGUCAAGUUAUGGAGUACUAAUUAGGAGAAAGGCAACCAUUGUACGACUUGAGACUCUUAUUUGGCUCCAACUCAGUGGUACACAUGGAUGAUAUCUUGCAUUCCCUUCCUCUUCGGCUUUGAGAAGAAAGAGGUAAUUCUUCGACGAGGAAAUGACAGUUGUAAAAGAAUAACACUGACUGUUUCAUAUAAUAAGAAACGAAGCAAGAGAAAAAGAGUAACUAUCUUUGUUGGGAACCAGUUCCUACAUGAAGCUCAAGAAAGGUUAUAUGGAUCUUAUUUGAUUCACAUCAAUGUAGAAAAAAAGGCCCAUGCUGCUUCAGCCGUGCUAAAUUACAGCAAGAACUGCAACCCUGAUAUCUUCACCCUUUACUUGGAUGGAAUAAUGAGCAAGUUACUUGUAUUAUUACAGAAUCUAGAAUGGUAAGCAAAUGGUAUAAGAAGGGGUCUUGACUGCUCUAGCAUCCGUUGCUGACUCAUCACAGGAACACUUACAAAAGUACUAUGAUGGAGUUAUGCCUUAUUUAAAAGCUAUAUUAGUUAAUGCAAAUGAUAAAGCUAAUUGUAUGCUUAGAGCGAAAGCCAUGGAAUGCAUUAGUUUGGUUGGAAUGGCUGUUGGGAAGGAAAAAUUCAGAGACGAUGCUAAGCAGGGACCAAAAUGGCAGGUUGACCCGUGGGACAAGAUCGAGAGAGGACGAAGAAUGUAAUGAGAGGUAUAUAUGUACCGUGUUUAGAGGUUUUCAAAACGUCCGUUUGCCGCCUUGAGUUGGCUACUUAUAGUUCGAUAAGCUACUAGGGAGAAUAUAUCUAGGACAUCCGUCUAGACUAUAUAUGGUCAUUAUGGGAACUCUAAGGCAAGGUUUUGAAGAUUGUUUUCUCUCAAAGUCUAUUUUCUAGUAGCGAUAUAUUGCACUCUAUUAACGAAUAAGUGUUGAUAUAUUUAAAGUAUCGCUGAAAUAGCAUUAAUAUGACAAAAUUGAGUAA